GACGAACGCUGGCGGCGUGCUUAACACAUGCAAGUCACGGGGGCCCGCAAGGGCAACCGGCGAACGGGUGCGUAACACGUGAGCAACCUACCGAGAUCUGGGGGAUAGCCGGCCCAACGGCCGGGUAAUACCGCAUACGCUCUUUCCACGGCAUUGUGGAUUGAGGAAACCUCCGGGGGAUUUCGAGGGGCUCGCGGCCUAUCAGCUAGUUGGUGCGGUCACGGCGCACCAAGGCGACGACGGGUAGCUGGCUGAGAGGAUGGCCAGCCACAUUGGGACUGAGAAACGGCCCAGACUCCUACGGGAGGCAGCAGUGGGGAAUCUUGCGCAAUGGCCGAAAGGCUGACGCAGCGACGCCGCGUGUGGGAGGAAGCCUUUCGGGUGUAAACCACUGUUGCCCGGGACGAACAGCUCCUUCGUGGAGCCUGACGGUACCGGGUGAGGAAGCACCGGCUAACUCCGUGCCAGCCGCCGCA
rnacentral:rRNA from 1 species